CAGUCGCCGCGGUAAUACCGAGGGUGCGAGCGUUAAUCGGAUUUACUGGGCGUAAAGCGUGCGUAGGCGGCUUUUUAAGUCGGAUGUGAAAUCCCUGAGCUUAACUUAGGAAUUGCAUUCGAUACUGGGAAGCUAGAGUAUGGGAGAGGAUGGUAGAAUUCCAGGUGUAGCGGUGAAAUGCGUAGAGAUCUGGAGGAAUACAGAUGGCGAAGGCAGCCAUCUGGCCUAAUACUGACGCUGAGGUACGAAAGCAUGGGGAGCAAACAGGAUUAGAUACCCCAGUAGUCCCUGUCUCUUAUAC
rnacentral:rRNA from 1 species